rnacentral:tRNA from 1 species
GCAGAAAUAGCUUAAUGGUAGAGCAUAGUCUUGCCAAGGCUGAGGUUAAGGGUUCAAGUACCUCCUUCCGCU